rnacentral:rRNA from 1 species
GGGUGAGAAUCCCGUAUGUGACCAGUGACCGAUCCCAUGUGAAACCCCUUCGACGAGUCGAGUUGUUUGGGAAUGCAGCUCAAAAUGGGUGGUAAAUUUCAUCUAAAGCUAAAUACUGGCUGGAGACCGAUAGCGCACAAGUAGAGUGAUCGAAAGAUGAAAAGCACUUUGGAAAGAGAGUCAAACAGUACGUGAAAUUGUUGAAAGGGAAGCGCUUGCAACCAGACCUGUCCGUAGGUGAUCAGCCGCCGUUCUCGGUGGUGCACUCGCCUACGAUCAGGCCAGCAUCGGUUCGGGCGGUCGGAUAAAGGCCUUGGGAAUGUAGCUCCUCUCGAGGAGUCUUAUAGCCCUCGGUGCAAUGCGGCCAACCCGGACCGAGGACCGCGCUUCGGCUAGGAUGCUGGCGUAAUGGUUGUAAGCGACCCGUCUUGAAACACGGACCAAGGAGUCUAACAUCUAUGCGAGUGUUUGGGUGUCAAACCCAUACGCGGAAUGAAAGUGAACGGAGGUGAGAACCCUUUAGGGCGCAUCAUCGACCGAUCCAGAUGUCUUCGGAUGGAUUUGAGUAUGAGCAUAGCUGUUGGGACCCGAAAGAUGGUGAACUAUGCCUGAAUAGGGUGAAGCCAGAGGAAACUCUGGUGGAGGCUCGCAGCGGU